UGUUCUUGGUACACCAGACAUGACUGCUUUCCCCGACGGGGUAAAUACAUCCCGAUUAUGUGGGAUUACAAGUUAUGAGAAGAUAUUGCCUGCGAACCUGUCUGAUAUCAUUCCCAAUGCAAGCCCAGAAGCUAUUGAUUUAAUCAGGCGACUUUGUUCAUGGGAUCCAUCAAGGAG